rnacentral:lncRNA from 1 species
GUCAGUCGGCGCAUGAGAUUAAGACAUCACCUGGAUAUGAUUAGAGUUCUACAGCCACUGAGAAACAAAAAAAAGAGAGAGAGGAUAGGCUAAUUCCAAUCUGUUACAUCUAACCACGAGAAAUAAAAGAAAAGAAAAAAGACUCACAAUAGUUCAACCACAUGACAUAAGAAAAAAAUAAAAUAAAAUAAAAUAAAAGACUCAAAACUCAGGUUGCCUCCCGAGAAGCGCUCUUUC